AUGGGGCCACACUGCCCGGAUGCCUCUGCCAGGCUGAGAAACACGCUGAGCCCUGGUUCCCAUAAAUUCGGCUUUUAUGUGGCUGUGAAUAGGAGUGAACAAUGGAUCUAUUGCAGGCUGCACAGAACUGGCCCAGCCUGGGUUUCCCUCCCGCAGUUAGGAGCCUUGGCAUGGCAGCGUUCUGGAGCCCCCGGCCUGUCUGUAAGCCUCCUAAACACCAGCGCCUGCUUGAAUUUGGGGGAGGAGAUUCCACCAUCCCCUGGGGUCUGUUGCGGGCAACCCAGACGGUGGUUACUGCAGAUUCCCAUGGCUGUGGCUCAGGCUUGGCCACACAGCUUUGGGUUGUGUCUUCCAGUUUCCCUCAGCCCCCUUCCAACUGUGGCUCCCGCUGUUCAAGCCCUUCCCCUCCUGCGGAAGCCAGCCCACCCCUGCAGGCAUUUGGGCAUCAUACCCAGUCAGAACCCUCACUCUGGGAGAGGCCAGUGACCCGGACGGGAGCUUCCCUAUGGAGAGGACGUGUGGCAAGGAGGGAUCUGAAUCCUGGUGACAGCCAUUAGGGAUCUGAAUCCCGGUGACAGCCAGGCAGGUGAGUCAAGUGGCUUUUUCCCCGGUUGUGCCUUUGGGUGACUGUCCUCUAGCCGAUAACUUGCAAGAGACACUGAGUCAGAAGAACCGGCGGUCCUGUGCCUGGAUUCCUGGCUCACUCGUGAAAUGGUAAACACUUGUUAUUUGGGGUCUGUUACGCUGAGCCAAUGUGCUUUGUCACUGGGAAUAGGUGAAUAAUGCAGCACUGUCUCUUUCCCUCCCGGACCUUCUCUGUUGAACUGUUGCUGUCUCACACUGAGUUUCCUUUCCUCUUCCUGCCAACACAGCCGUAUUGAUUUGGGUUAAAUCAAUACUCAUGCCUCGUGGGAUCAGGACCAUGUAAGUACCAUAUAACCCUGAGCCAGGCGGUGCCUUCUAGUGGUAUUUCUUUCUCUGCACAUUUUUAUUUUCCUGGAGUUAGUUAUUGCCUUGCUUUUAUUUAAAAAGAAACAAAACGUUAGCUUUCCACAUGCCUAUGUAUAUUCCAAAUGUUCUAACGGAAUUCUCAAAUGCUGGCAACACAUUUUCAAAUGCUCAGAUGCACCAGACAAUCCCGUUUCCAUUUUCCUUUUCUCCUGGCACUUUCCCUCUUUGGACCUUCGCCCCUUGCUCUGGAGUCUUGGUUCUCUGGACCCGAGGUGCACCUGCCGCUAUGGGGGAUGCCUUUCACCCCUCUUCUGAGUUGCACAAGCUGUUUUCUGUAUCCCAGGGUUUCCCUGUACACGGUGUCACCCAAACACUGUAGAAUCUUAGGAAAAAGACAUGGAAAUAAAAUGUUGACUCCUGGUAGGUCUGAAAAUACCCUUUUCACUCCUAAUGGUUGACGGGUCGCUUUUUAGGUGUGACAUUCUAGGUUACCCCGAAGUACUCGGGGUAUCUUGCCAUAUGUUGCAGCUUCCAGAGUGACCCUAGAGGGGCCGGAUGCCUUCUGAGGUCCUGUGCUUUCUAUGCAAUCUGCCCUUGCACACCUGUAGGCUUUUAUUUG
rnacentral:lncRNA from 1 species